AGUCGAGCGAGAAGUCACCUUCGGGUGGCGAGUAAAGCGGCGCACGGGUGAGUAACACGUGAGUAACGUACCCUUGGGUGCGGGAUAACCUUUCGAAAGGAUGGCUAAUACCGCAUAAGACCACAACGCCUUAUGGCGAAGGGGUCAAAGCUUUAGUGCCCAAGGAUCGGCUCGCGGUCCAUUAGAUAGUUGGCGGGGUAAUGGCCCACCAAGUCCAAGAUGGAUAGCUGGUCUGAGAGGAUGAUCAGCCACACUGGAACUGAGACACGGUCCAGACUCCUACGGGAGGCAGCAGUGGGGAAUAUUGCGCAAUGGACGAAAGUCUGACGCAGCAACGCCGCGUGUGUGAUGAAGGCUUUCGGGUCGUAAAGCACUGUCAGGAGGGAAGAAACAAAGACGGUACCUCCAAAGGAAGCACCGGCUAACUCCGUGCCAGCAGCCGCGGUAAUACGGAGGGUGCAAACGUUGUUCGGAAUCAUUGGGCGUAAAGCGCACGUAGGCGGCUUAUUAAGUCGGAUGUGAAAUCCCGGGGCUCAACCUCGGAAUGCCAUUGGAAACUGAUAAGCUUGAGAGUGAGAGGGGUUAGUGGAAUUGCUGGUGUAGGGGUGAAAUCCGUAG
rnacentral:rRNA from 1 species